UACAGAGAGGGCAAGCGUUGUCCGGAAUGACUGGGCGUAAAGCGCGCGCAGGCGGUCUUUUAAGUUGGGUGUGAAAUCCCCGGGCUUAACCUGGGAACUGCAUUCGAUACUGGAAGACUAGAGGCCGAGAGAGGAAAGCGGAAUGACGAGUGUAGAGGUGAAAUUCGUAGAUAUUCGUCGGAACACCAGAGGCGAAGGCGGCUUUCUG
rnacentral:rRNA from 1 species